UACAGCUCUUGAAAAUGAGAGUCCAAAUGAGUUUCUUGGUUUUCUGGGUCCGCCUAGUCCUUCUUGCCCAGUACGUUGCAGGCAAUGAAGCGUCGCGGUGCAGCCGGAGACGGUGAAGCUAGACACUGGAGGUCUGAGCAGGGAGAGUUUUCCAAAGGGUUUCGUUUUCGGAACAGCCACGUCCGCUUAUCAAUUCGAAGGCAUGGCCCAUUGUGACGGUCGUGGCCCCAGCAUUUGCGACGUCUUCGUUAAAAUUCCCGGUAAUGAAACUGAUGCUAAAGUGGUCAAAUGUAAAAAAGAAGAAAAACAAAUUUAAAAGAGUUAAUUUCUGUGACAUGAUCAACAGGGAUUGUUGCCAAGAAUGGCACGGGUGAAGUAUCAGUGGACCAAUAUCAUCGCUACAAGGUAGGUAUUUGAUAGGCAUUUAGCCCUCUAAUUCUAUAACCACAAACGUGUGUUAACCUUAGUUGUUAUUGCUGGCCUGCGCAUCAUCUACAGGGGAUUGUCAAGUUUAAAACGUUUCUCUUUUGUUACAGGAAGAUGUGGAUCUUAUGGCAAACCUGAAUUUUGAUGCGUACAGGUUUUCAAUCUCAUGGUCCAGGAUUUUCCCUGGUACUUCCAUCAUCAACAUAGUACAUAUACUUUGAUCAACAGAAAUUGUUGUUGGUGUCGUGUUGCUUAUCAUUUAUUCCAAUUGGUUUUAUUUAGACGGGACUGGGAAGGUAAAUUGGAAGGGAGUUGCAUACUACAACAGGUUGAUCGACUCCUUGCUACAAAGAGGUAAUUCUUUAUAAAGAUUAAGAAUGUAAGAAUUCCCAAACUAGUAUUGCCAGGUUGUGUUGAAACAGGGGAGCUGAUAUCAAUCUAAUGCUAUCAUCAUCAUUUCGUCUGAAUUCGUAUUAUCCCUAAUUAUCAUGGUUCAACAUGUAACCUGUGGGCUUUCUUCCCUGCCCUAACUACAUUUAUUUAUUCCAGUGACUUCCCAUGUCUUCAAUGGCAGAGCUGCCCCUUGAUCCAAUGAAGGACGAUCAGGCAACAAACUAUACUAAUAUUUAGCAAUAGAAAUAGGAGUACCUGGUAUGAAGAAUUCUUUAUAUAUCUAAAGACACCAACUCCACCAUUCAUGGGGUAUGUCUGCUCAUCUCUUCUUCUGCCAUAUCUUCCCCGAUCCCUAUCUUUCAGUGAAGUGCUACUUUAUUCCCUUCCUUGGCUUCUCACCUGAUCAACACUCUUAUAAAGUGCCCUUAGAUUGAUUAAACAAAUCAUUUGCCUUUCUUUAGGA
rnacentral:lncRNA from 1 species